CAGACUCCUCUGUGGAGUUACGGCCUCGGUCCCAUGCCGAGGUAAAGAAUAGUCAUUGCACGGAGACUUCACUCUCUUUUGCCUUUCAGCUGUUUUGAAAGUAAAAUUAACAGAAGGGAGAACCGUCUUUGCUGCGCGCCGCUGUUGACUCGAAGACUGGGAGACCUCGGCACGCCCACUCGCGGAUGCUGUGCCACACCGCUUGCAAGCUACGCGCUGUACCGGUUGAAUACCCCACGCGAUCCUGAAGGCACUAUCAAACUACACUAUAAGCUUAGCGCUGAAAAAUAGUAUUGUUAACUUUAACAACGGGUUGUAUACGUAAAAAAAUAAAAAUAAAUAAAUAAAAAUAAUGCCUUUGUUGAAGCAUUGGGGAGUUAUAGUGUCGGUCUCCUUUAAGAAGAAAGGCAUGCUGGGAUAUCAGCAGAUCUCUUGUGAGUUGACGGCAAAGAAUGGCAGAGAUCUGAGGAAGAGAGCUUGAGCGGCAAACUUUAAAAGUAAAUCUGGUUCAGGCUGCAAUGCUUGUUACUAAUAGGCACUGUGACAUUUGUUCAAGUUUCUUUGUUAUGAAAAGUUAUUUUAUUGAGGUACAUGUUUUAAAAAAAA